UGUAGAGAAAAAGAAAAGGAGAGAAGCGGAGAACAACAAAAACCUUACAUGAGGAGUGAGGAGGCGGCUGUGCCGUCAGAUUGGAAAGGUUCAAAGGCAUUGAGGAAGGAAAAUCAUUGAAGAAGUGGUCUAUUUGAAUUCGAUUCUACGGUGGAGAAUAUCAAUAAUCAGCACAAAGUUUGUGGGAACGAAGAUGCAAUGUUAACGAAUGAUUUAGAGAAUAUGGAUAUGCAACGUAAAGCAUGUCAUGAUAAGGAUUCAAUAUUAAUGGAAGUUCCAAUUAUCACACAUGAUGAAUCAAAAGUCGAUGUUCUAGAGAUAACCCUUUUAAAAAGCUGUCUAAUUUUUAUGGAUUCUUGAAUAACUUUUAAUGUUGAUUGUAUGAUGAAAUAAAGAACAAUAUUCUUCUCUAUAUCUAAAACACGACUUGUAUCACAACAAUAUUAUUUAAAUAUGUCAUAUAUCUAAC